UACGAAGGGGGCUAGCGUUGCUCGGAAUUACUGGGCGUAAAGCGCACGUAGGCGGCUCUUUAAGUCGGAGGUGAAAUCCUGGAGCUCAACUCCAGAACUGCCUUCGAUACUGAAGAGCUCGAGUCCGGGAGAGGUGAGUGGAACUGCGAGUGUAGAGGUGAAAUUCGUAGAUAUUCGCAAGAACACCAGUGGCGAAGGCGGCUCACUGGCCCGAUACUGACGCUGAGGUGCGAAAGCGUGGGGAGCAAACAGG
rnacentral:rRNA from 1 species